UGAAUGUAAUAAGGGAUUUAUGAUUCUUGCAAAAAUGAAAUAGUUUUCUACCCUCGUGGUAGCGAGUUUUAAAAGGAAAAGGUUUCCGUAUGGAAAACGAUUUUUAAAAGGAUUUUCUGAUUUUUCCUGAAUAUUAGUAUUUCAAAAUGUGUUUCCGGGUAGGAAACAUUUUUAAAUUGAUAGAUGUGAAUUUAUGAAAAUUUAUGAUGAAAUAACUGUGGAUGUGAAUGGUGUAUGAAUAUGUGGAUGUUCAUAUUUGGUGGUUAUAUCUUGUUUUGUGUAUCUUGUAGUUGUGCGACACCGUAAAAAUACAGGGGAUACUCUGUCCGUGUGAACAGUGGACUCUCAUAUUUGUGGCGAAUCUGGCAUACCUUGGGAGGUCAGGAUUUUCAAAUAAAAAAAAAAAAAAUUAGGCACUUCCGCAUUGAAUUUAUAUCGAAAAGGGAUCCCGAGGUGUGACAACGAUACAGCGGGUAGAUAUCGUUAAAGUUAAAAUUUGUAAAGAAUUAAAUAUCAGUUUAGUACAAAAAAUAGUAAAUAUAGUCUACAUUAUAGAUAAAUAUUUUUUAAAAAUAAAAUUAUAAUGAAAAAGAAUUUAAUCGUUUCAACAAAACUAUUCAACAUUGUUCAAGAGAAGUUGUAUAUCAUGCAAAUGGAUAAUUAAGAUUAUUUUUAUAAUACAGUAAUGAAAUGAGAAAAAAAAAGUAGGUCUCACUCUUCUCCAAAUUAAGGGGAUGAGUACAUAUAUGAUUUAAUCAUGAAGAUUAAUGACAUGAGUGAUGUGGUGCUACGGCCACCUUUUAGACUUUUUCGUCAAUGACAGGUCUCUACAUAUAUUUAUACCUUUAGUCUUCUAAUGCUGGUGAUAUAACGCUAAUUUAGGAUUUAUCAAAGCCCAUAUGUCAUUCCCCCGGGGUCCCCUUUCCGGCAAAAGAAUAGCGGAAGUGUCCAAAAUUUUUUUUUUUUUUUGAAAGACUUGACUCAAAGAUGACAAACCUGCCACAAAUAUAGAAAAUCUACUAUUUAAUAACGCCCUAACUUUUCAAGGAGUCACCCAUCCUAGGACUACUUUUGCCCUAACAUAUUUAACUCUUUUAACUUCUUGGGUCUAGCCACCACCCAAACCACUUAAGCCGAGUUAAGAGUUUAGCCCUAUUAUAUCUCAUAUAUAGGACUAUCUGGGAUCUCACACUAUAUAAUAAAUUUAUUAUAUUAAUUUUGUCAAUUUAUCUUAUUUUCUUCUUU
rnacentral:lncRNA from 1 species